GUUGCUUGUUUGAUGCAGGGCUUCCGAUACAAGAUGCGGUCUGUGUACGCUCACUUCCCCAUCAACGUUGUCAUCCAGGAGAAUGGCUCUUUGGUUGAAAUCCGAAAUUUCUUGGGUGAAAAAUACAUCCGCAGGGUUCGGAUGAGGACAGCUGCCCUGAUUCAGCAAGCCACAACAGUUAAGAACAAGGAUAUCCGGAAGUUUUUGGACGGCAUCUAUGUGUCUGAGAAGGGAACUGUGCAGCAGGCUGACGAGUGAGGAGGCCUCAGUUCCUGGCUCCAGAAACGAGAUCCUGAUCACAAGAACAAUUUGGGCUCUUUUGGGAGAAUAAAAGACUUAUAUAUUGA